rnacentral:rRNA from 1 species
UACGUAGGGUGCAAGCGUUGUCCGGAAUUAUUGGGCGUAAAGAGUUCGUAGGCGGUUUGUCGCGUCCGUUGUGAAAACUGGAGGCUUAACCUCCAGACGUCGAUGGAAACCGUAUGGCUAGAGUCCGGAAGAGGAGAGUGGAAUUCCUGGUGUAGCGGUGAAAUGCGCAGAUAUCAGGAAGAACACCCGUGGCGAAGGCGGCUCUCUGGGACGGUACUGACGCUGAGACGCGAAAGCGUGGGGAGCGAACAGG